UAAAUUAAACUUGGUUAGUUGACUUUCUUGAUUCUCAGUAAAUAUAAACCAUUGACCCCCCACGGGGAUUUUGGUAGUAGUUAAAUCAUAGCAACACGACAGAGAUUCUAUCUUUCCAUUAUUCAGGGGUUGAAUUCAAAGUGCUUCAUCUAAAUGACUCGAAGGCUAACCCUGGACUGUGCCCCCCCUUACCCCCAUCUCAGCAGGUGCUUUAGUGCAUGCUUCCGGGUUUCAUCCCCUCUAAGCUAUCCAUAGCAACAAGGAACACGCGGAAGAUGAACUCGAUGGCUUCUUCUGAAUUAGUGCUUAUGUCAGACCCAGAGUCCCAGCUGAAGGGCUGAUGGGACCCCCUUUGUGCAGAGUGAAUGCUGCCUGAUUGCUGAGGCAGCUCAGCUGUCAGAGCAAAUCACUCUCAUUUGUUCGACAGCCUCUCCAGGGCCCGGCACUUCUGCGGUAUCUGCUCCUCCUUUGGCCAGGGUAUGAGAGGGUCAGAUUUUUCUUCUUCCCCUUCCUUAGACGCCUGAGAACACAUAACACUGUGAUAGACAGAAAUGAAAUCUGCUUUAAAACAGCUUUGAAUGGAUCGCAGCCAAGAUACAAGCCCUGCAGAUGUGUCAGACAGCUGCCUAUUUUGAGGAUACUGUCAAACUUGCACCAACAGGGGCCAUCAUCAGUAAACUACAGCACCAGAAACCCAUGGGGGGGCCUCGUGAUGCUUCCGGAAGCUGAGCACUAGGAUUGAUGUUAGAAUGGCAAGCUGCUUUUGUUGCGACUAUGACUCUAAAUCAUGUAUCAUCCUUUUUAUGAAGGCCAGAAGCGGAUUGAUGGGACUUGGGCAUACAGAAGCAGUGAUCUAAGCACAGGGCAUCUCCCUCCAUCACAGCACAUCUCCCUCCAUCUUCCCUGCCCAUCCCCAGCACAAGCCAGAGGGCUCAGAGGAGCAAAAGUCACCUACUUGGAACAAGAGUGUGCCCCAGGUCAGAGCAACAGCUAAGGCUUCUCCCCUUUGCUUUCUUCCAGGUUGUAUUUCCAUAGCAGGACAAGGGUGGCCUGAACUGUGUCUUAGCAAGGGUUUUACUGCUGUGAACAGACACCAGGACCAAGGCAACUGUGAAAAGGACUACAUUUAAUUGGGGCUGGCUUACAGGUUCAGAGGUUCAGUCCAUUAUCAUCAAGGCAGGAACAUGGCCGGAUCCAGGCAGACUGGUACAGGAAGAGCUGAGAGUUCUACAUCUUCCUCUGAAGGUUGCUGGCAGACUACUCCCUUCCAGGUAGCUAGGAUGAAGGUCUUAUAGCCCACACCCACAGUGGCACACCUACUCCAACAAGGCCACACCUCCUAAUAGCGCCACUCCCUGGGCAGAGCAUAUACAAACCACUACAACCUCUAAGAGAGCCCAUGCAAUGGGAUUCUAUGAAGGCAGGGGAGAUCAUAAUGUGUUUGAGUGUGGGUGGGCCAGAUAGAGCCAUGAAAUUCAGGAGUUCAGGGGUCAUGAGAGCCAUUAGGGAGCUUGUCUUUCAGUAGCCAGUCCUGGGCUUCCAAGACUGAGUCACUUUUCACUGACCUCUGACAGACACAGGAAGUCUAUUCUUUUCACCAGCUAUGUGGGUAACAUGAAACUCAGUGUCAUCUUUCAAACAACUUAAAUAUUUCAUAACUGGCCCCGGGCAGGAGGAUCUAUGAGAGGUGAUUCUGAAUCCCUGUCUUUUUUCCAGCAGAGCGACUCUACGCCAUGCAAACUUGUGUUUUUUUCCAGGUGAAUGUGAGGCUAUCUAUAUUGGGCUACUUUUUCUUUUCUAUUGAGCUAGAAGGGGAAGCUGUGGCGUCUACUCCUAUUUGUCUUUGAAGAGGAGGUAAGGAUAAGGAGGAGAGACUGCCCGUCUUUAAUUGGAGCAUGGCAGGUGGUUUUCAAGAGCAAAUGGCACCCUUUCCUUGAAUGGCACCAGGCACACAAUUCAUGGGCUUGCCAGGUUUGAUGGAAGGAUAUGCAAAUCUGACUCAAUUCACAGCCUCACUUAACAGUUCAGUUGUAAUUGCAUCUAAUUGAGGCUUAUUCAUAAAUGUCAUUGAUGUAAAAAAAACUGCGUUGAUGUAGAGGAGUCCACCUCAAAGAAGGAUGAUUACUUCACAGCGGAAACCCCACUGAAGAACAUCACUGUUGCUAAGACAACCGAGAGUGAAGCUGGUUGCCCACGGUUACCCAUGUACCAAAUGUCAUUGGUGGAUGAGUGUUAGCUUUGAAUGGGCCUCAGGAGCACAAUGAGGAAGGGCAAUGGGAACUGCCUAAGUGAGUGUGAAGAGACAUGUCCUUGCACCCUCCCCUCCCCUCAGGCAUUUCAGAGCCCC
ensembl:lincRNA Gm44737 predicted gene 44737